GGGAUGCCACCAAAACGACAACGAAGAAAUAUGCCUUCUCCCCCAAGUCCCAAACCCAAUAAUGACUCCCAAACUGAGGACUCCACUCUUGAAUUAGUUAAUACACAGGAGACAGAAAGCCAAUCGACACCUACCACUGAUGCCUUGUCACGUCGCGGACGUGGCUACACAGCAGACUUGCUCUGGAAAGAAAUGGAAGGCACAGAAAAAUCAAGAUCAACAUUCCCGAUAAUUUCACUGGAGGAGUGGACGAUAGUGCAACAUUGCUUUCUUCCUAUGUUGGCACAGUAGUCCGAGUUUUUGUCCCAUUUUGUCUGCAAUAAUGGAGACAUGUUCCGAAUCAGGUGAAUGAUCACAUUCAGAGUCGUGUACUGGAUGAAUUCGACCUCAAUUUUGGCCGUAGCGAGGAUAUGUGAACCGUGAACGAGUUGAUAACUACAUUAUUUCGACGUCACAAGGGACGAUGCCAAGACCACUUCAAGAAAUUUUAGACGUUGGAAGAGGCUGUUCCGUCCCCUUUUCCAAAAAUGAAGUUAGAUGAUUGGAUGAAGCAUUGUGAUCUUUUCGCAAGUCCAAAUUAUCAAGUUUUCUAGAUUUAUUUCCUAUAAGUUAUUUGACAUCUAUAUUGGUUUCAUAUAUUAUAUUUAAUAUUGUUAAUUUCUCUUGUAGCACUUAAGUUCUAUCAAUGUACAGAAUAGAAUGGCUUUGACAAUCCACCAUCGAGCCGGCUCAAGGUCAUUUCAACAUCUUGCUGAUAAAAUGAUAAUUGAUAACUUAUUAAUUCUCACUAAUUUUUAUCAUAUUUUUUUUAUUUAAGUACUAACAUUAUAUCUUAAAGUUACUAAUGUGGCUUUGUUAGAAACAUGAUGUUCUUGAAAAUUUAUCCCCAUUUAUGUAUAUGCUGCUACUCACACUGAUGAGCAUAGUGAAUGGGUUGAUCAUAUCGCUAAAUAUAAUUAUGUAAGUGAGGUUAUUUUCUGUGAAUAAAUUAUGCAACAUGUGAAUUCAUAUUAUAUUUGAUUCCUCAUUUCUUUUAAUAUGUUACUUAUUGUGUGCUUUUGUUGUAGUUGUAGGAAAAAAUGAUUAAGAUCUAAUUAGCCUAUGAGGAAUCCUCUCCUAGUGACAUACGCAUAUUCAUGCAAGUGUUCAGGACCAAAUCUGGUUUGGUAAGAGGUUUGAGACGUUCUUUUAAGCAUGUCGGUUCAUCCUCCAAGACCUCGACUUUGAAAGUUAACAAUCUUACUAAUCAGCAUGCCAAGAAAUUGAGCAGAUGAAGUCGAGACAGCAGGAAUUGGAGUCUCUCUUAUCACAAUAGUCUGAUUUAGAGAUGCGUUUGCAGGAGCAACAAAGAUAUAUCAUUAUCAUUAUUAUUAAUAAAAACUUUUAUUGUCUAUUUUUACAACUCUAUAUGACAUUAUUAGUUAUUACAUUUUUGGUGUAAUAUGA